rnacentral:siRNA from 1 species
GGCCUUGAACUCAUGAUCAUGUAU